CAUAUCACCCUGCAGCCCAAGACUGGUUGCCCAUCGAAGCUAAGCAGGGUUGAGCCUGGUCAGUACCUGGAUGGGAGACCUCCUGGGAAAACUAGGNN
rnacentral:rRNA from 1 species